rnacentral:rRNA from 1 species
GACGAACGCUGGCGGCGUGCCUAAUACAUGCAAGUAGAACGCAGUUGCGAACGGGUGAGUAACGCGUAGGUAACUGCCUGGUAGCGGGGGAUAACUAUUGGAAACGAUAGCUAAUACCGCAUACUACCAGAUGGACCUGCGUUGUAUUAGCUAGUUGGUGAGGUAACGGCGCACCAAGGCAACGAUACAUAGCCGGGCGGGGAAGGUGAUCGGCCACACUGGGAAUGGGACCAGGCCCAGACUCCUACGGGAGGCAGCAGUAGGGGAUCUUCGGCAAUGGGGGGAACCCUGACCGAGCAACGGCGCGUGAGUGAAGAAGGUUUUCGGGUCGUAAAGCUCUGUUGUUAAGGAAGCGGUACUUAACCAGAAAGGGACGGCUAACUACGUGCCAGCCGCCGCGGUAAUAC